rnacentral:rRNA from 1 species
AGAGGGUGCAAGCGUUAAUCGGAAUUACUGGGCGUAAAGCGCACGUAGGUGGAUAAUUAAGUUGGGGUGUGAAAGCCCCGGGGGCUCAACCUGGGAGUGUCAUUCAAAACUGGUUAUCUAGAGUACAGUAGAGGGAAGUGGAAUUUCCGGUGUAGCGGUGAAAUGCGUAGAUAUCGGAAGGAACAUCAGUGGCGAAGGCGACUUCCUGGACUGAUACUGACACUGAGGUGCGAAAGCGUGGGUAGCGAACAGGAUUAGAUACCCUGGUAGUCCACGCCGUAAACGAUGAGAACUAGCUGUUGGUGAUAUAAAAAUCAUUAGUGGCGCAGCUAACGCGUUAAGUUCUCCGCCUGGGAAGUACGGCCGCAAGGUUAA